rnacentral:rRNA from 1 species
CGUCUGGUCAGCAUGGCCCUUACGGCCUGGGCGACACACGUGCUACAAUGCCCACUACAAAGCGAGGCCACCCGGCAACGGGGAGCUAAUCGCAAAAAGGUGGGCCCAGUUCGGAUUGGGGUCUGCAACCCGACCCCCAUGAAGCCGGAAUCGCUAGUAAUCGCGGAUCAGCCAUGCCGCGGUGAAUACGUUCCCGGGCCUU